rnacentral:rRNA from 1 species
AUUGCACGCUGGCGGCAGGCCUAACACAUGCAAGUCGAGCGAGCGGCGGACGGGUUAGUAAUGUCUGGGAAACUGCCUGAUGGAGGGGGAUAACUACUGGAAACGGUAGCUAAUACCGCAUACCAUCAGAUGUGCCAAGAUGGGAUGAGCUAGUAGGGGGGGUAAAGGCUAACCUAGGCGACGAGCCCUGGCUGGUCUGAGAGGAUGACCAGCAACACUGGAACUGAUACACGGUCCAGACUCCUACGGGAGGCAGCAGUGGGGAAGAUGGCACAAGGGGCGCAAGCCUGAUGCAGCCAUGCCGCGUGUGUGAAGAAGGCCUUGGGGUUGUAAAGCACUUUCAGCGAGGAGGCGUUACGCGCAGAAGAAGCACCGGCUAACUCCGUGCCAGCAGCCGCGGUAAUAC